AUGUGGUUCCCCUUUCAGACAGUUACAUUGCACCUUUGGCCGCCAGGGUCUAGAGAAGAAGCUGUGGAGCUGGCUGCCAAGAUCCUUUCCUUGCCCCUGCUGUGCCUACUGUCUGUCUGUGUUCAGGGAUAGAAGAGGCUGUUUCUCUUUGCAACACCUUCAAUGUUAACAUGUCAGAAUCUGGACAAUAGAGUAAUGAAGUCCAAGGCCGAAUGAACACCCAGCCUUUGUUUCUCUACAAGGAUAACAUGUGUCAUGCCAUUGGUGCUCAGGAGAACAGCAUGAAUGCCACAAAGAUCUGUGAAAAACAGGUUGACACUCUGAAAGAUGGAUUUGAUAUUUUCAAAGGGCUGCUGCUUGACAUUUUGGAGGAGAUUAACACAAUCAGAAAGACCCUCACUCUGCAGGCUGAGAUGUGUUGCCAGUAUGAGGGAGACAAAUGUUUCAGGGAAUCCUUCCUCAAUGGAAAGAUCAUGUUACAUGUUGACACGAGCACUGGCGGCUUGGCUCAAUUCGAUCCUAGAUUCAAGAAGAUGAUAGAAAUGUGGAAAAAAGACAGGGAUAAAGCUGCCUUCUUAAACAAGACUACACAGAGGGACUGAAGGACCUGGCUUGAUGAGCUCAAGUUGCACUGGAAAGAACAUCCAGAACCUCCAGGAUUUGCCAAUACCUUGUUGAUUAUUUUAUCUACACUAGCAUCAAUAGUCUUUAUCAUAGGAUUGAUCAUUUUAAGAGUCUGUUAGUAUCAAGACACUCACGUGAAAAAAAAGAUUGAUCUGCAGUCCUCACCACUUCCUGUGUUGGAUGACUCCUUGACAUUGACGAGAUGUGUUCAGCAAAGGAAGAAGAUGAAUUUCUGACAGCAUCUCAGAAUUGUGUGCUGUUGCCUUUGGACCAGACUGGUGGGAACCCAUGAGACUAAUGGCCGACAGAGCCUCAUGCAUCAGGAAAUCAGAGUGCACUAGGCUGUUGGCAGCAGGGACUUCCUCUUGCUCUGUUCCUUUCCUUUCUCAUUCUUCCAUGAUAGUGCUGUGGAGAUCAAGCUAGGCAUGGCUCUAAAUUACUCCUCACUCUGCAAAAACAAUGACUUGCCCUGAGUGACUCCAUUUUACAAGCAGCACUUGGCUCUCUUUUAAGUGUAAUGCAGACAU